GGGUUUUUCCACAAAGUGACUUUCCACAGAGAUGGUAAUGGAAGCAUCUAGAGGCAGGAUGUAAAAUGGCAAAAUGUCUAUCUAACUCCAAAGGUUCUUAGGGAAAUUAAAAAGAAGUCUGGGCAUGCCUUUCCUCUAAGUGGGGAGCUGUGGAGGAGACAUGGCUUAGCAUCGAAGGGAUGGUACCCUGCCCUCUCACAAUGACUCAGCUCUUUCCUCUCGGGCUUAAUAAACAAUUAUUUAAGAGCACGAAUAGAAAUCAAGGCAUUUUCAAGUUUCAUAGAAGUCAUUUAAGGCCGGGAGUGGUGGCGCACACCUUUAAUCCCAGCACUCAGGAGGCAGAGUUCCUCCUGAGUUCCAGGCCAGCCUGGUCUACAAAGUGAGUUCCAGGACAGCCAGGGCUAUACAGAGAAACCCUGUCUGGAAAAACCAAAAAGGGAAGAGGAAGAGGAAGAGGAAGAGGAAGAGGAAGAGGAAGAGGAAGAGGAAGAGGAAGAGGAAGAGGAAGAGGAAGAAGUUAUUCACGACUUGCCUAGAUUUCUUGAAUUUUAGCAUCCAUCUUGUCUGUCUGUCUGUCUGUCUGCCUAGAAAACUCAGUGAGGAAAAUUAAAUCUUCAGUACUCUGUUGUGUAAUUCACCCUCAUUUUGAAGGACUGCAUCUUUGCCUUUAUGCUCGCCAACAAAGGAACACUUUUAAUGAGGGCAAAACCAGAGAUGUUAUUGGAGUAGUACGAUGAAGGAGAGAGGAUUUCAUUAGUCACCAAUUGUGCUGAAUAGUCUCAAGCCAAUGGAGGAGAGCUGCAGCUAAGAGAUGCUGGGAAAGUCAUCAAAAAGGGAGCCUACACUCUGGAAUGCACCUGUGUAGUGGAAA
rnacentral:lncRNA from 1 species